AUUGAACGCUGGCGGCAGGCCUAACACAUGCAAGUCGAGCGCGAAAGGCUUUCGGGCUGAGUAGAGCGGCGGACGGGUGAGUAACGCGUAGGAAUCUACCUGGUAGUGGGGGACAACUUGGGGAAACUCAAGCUAAUACCGCAUACGCCCCACGGGGGAAAGCGGGGGACCUUCGGGCCUCGCGCUAUCGGAUGAGCCUGCGUAGGAUUAGCUAGUUGGUGGGGUAAAGGCUCACCAAGGCGACGAUCCUUAGCUGGUCUGAGAGGAUGAUCGGCCACACUGGAACUGAGACACGGUCCAGACUCCUACGGGAGGCAGCAGUGGGGAAUAUUGCGCAAUGGGCGAAAGCCUGACGCAGCCAUGCCGCGUGUGUGAAGAAGGCCUUAGGGUUGUAAAGCACUUUCAAUUGGGAAGAAAAGUUUAUGGUU
rnacentral:rRNA from 1 species